AAUAUUGGACAAUGGGGGCAACCCUGACCCAGCUAUGCCGCGUGUGUGAAGAAGGUCUUCCGAUGGUAAAGCACUCUAAGCAGGUAGGAAGGGCGUGAGGUGAACACCCUCAAGUCAUGACGUUACCAACCGAAUAAGCACCGGCUAACUGUCGGCCAGCAGCCGCGGUAAUACAGAGGGUGCAAGCGUUAAUCGGAAUUACUGGGCGUAAAGCGCGCGUAGGUGUUUCAGUAAGAUGGGUGUGAAAUCCCCGUGCUUAACCUGGGAACUGCUUUCAUAACUGCUGAGCUAGAGUACGGUAGAGGGUAGUGGAAUUUCCUGUGUAGCGGUGAAAUGCGUAGAUAUAGGAAGGAACACCAGUGGCGAAGGCGACUACCUGGACUGAUACUGACACUGAGGUGCGAAAGCGUGGGGAGCAGACA
rnacentral:rRNA from 1 species